rnacentral:rRNA from 1 species
UACAGAGGUCUCAAGCGUUGUUCGGAUUCAUUGGGCGUAAAGGGUGUGUAGGUGGCGCGCUAAGUCGGGUGUGAAAUUUCGGAGCUUAACUCCGAAACUGCAUUCGAUACUGGCGUGCUUGAGGACUGGAGAGGAGACUGGAAUUCAUGGUGUAGCAGUGAAAUGCGUAGAGAUCAUGAGGAAGACCAGUGGCGAAGGCGGGUUUCUGGACAGUUCCUGACACUGAGGCACGAAGGCCAGGGGAGCAAACGGGG